GCUGAUCGAAGAUAUAUCUCCCCUCUGUGCCUUUCCUCCAUGGGAAAGGCACAGGAAAGGCACAGAGGGGAGAAAUAGCUUGAUCGG